GACGAACGCUGGCGGCGUGCUUAACACAUGCAAGUCGAACGAAGUGGCGAACGGGUGAGUAACGCGUAAUCAACCUGCCCUUCAGAGGGGGACAACAGUUGGAAACGAAUGCUAAUACCGCCAACUGAAGGUGGGGAUUGCGUCUGAUUAGCACGUUGGAGGGGUAACGGCCCACCAAGGCGAUGAACAGUAGCCGUUCUGAGAGGAUGAACGGCCACAUUGGGACUGGGACACGGCCCAGACUCCGACGGGGGGCAGCAGUGGGGAAUCUUCCGCAAUGGACGAAAGUCUGACGGCGCAACGCCGCGUGAGUGAUGACGGCCUUCGGGUUGGAAAGCUCUGUUAAUCGGGACGCGGUACCGGAAUAGAAAGCCACGGCUAACUACGUGCCAGCAGCCGCGGUAAUAC
rnacentral:rRNA from 1 species